rnacentral:lncRNA from 1 species
GUCGCCAUUCGUGUUUCGAGCCAUUCCCCUCAUCUCCGCUCGAAUUUCCUCCAACAUCGCUUCCAUGGAAACGAAUCUGCCCUCAGUGCACUCAUCCUAUUCUCCAUCUUGUCUCUCCUUGGAUUUUGAUCCGGCAGGUCGGACCAAUCUGUUAGGUUACUUUAUAAUGAUAACCUAAUCUAUUCUCUCUUCUUAUCUCAACACUCAAUUAACAGAGUGAAUGUAUGAUUAACAGAGAUGAAUGUAUGAAUAUAUAUUUUAUUAACU